AUACGUAGGGGGCAAGCGUUGUCCGGAUUUAUUGGGCGUAAAGGGCACGCAGGCGGUCUUCUAAGUCAGAUGUGUAAGGUCUCGGCUCAACCGAGAAGUUGCAUCUGAAACUGGGGGACUUGAGUGCAGGAGAGGAGAGUGGAAUUCUCGGUGUAGCGGUGGAAUGCGUAGAGAUCGGGAGGAACACCAGUGGCGAAGGCGACUCUCUGGCCUGUAACUGACGCUGAGGUGCGAAAGCGUGGGGAGCGAACAGGAUUAGAUACCCUGGUAGUCCACGCCGUAAACGAUGAGUGCUAGGUGUUGGGGGCGUUACGCCCUCAGUGCCGAAGGAAACCCAAUAAGCACUCCGCCUGGGGAGUACGGCCGCAAGGCUGAA
rnacentral:rRNA from 1 species